rnacentral:rRNA from 1 species
GAUAAACGCUGGCGGCGCACAUAAGACAUGCAAGUUGAACGGACUUAAUCGAAAUAUUUAUAUUUUGAAGCGGUUAGUGGCGGACUGGUGAGUAACGCGUAAGGAACCUGCCUAUUAGAGGGGGAUAACAGUGAGAAAUCAUUGCUAAUACCGCAUAUGCCAUAGAUAUCACAUGAUAACAGUGGGAAAGGAGCAAUCCGCUAAUAGAUGGCCUUGCGUCUGAUUAGAUAGUUGGUGGGGUAACGGCCUACCAAGUCGACGAUCAGUAGCCGGACUGAGAGGUUGAACGGCCACAUUGGGACUGAGAUACGGCCCAGACUCCUACGGGAGGCAGCAGUCGGGAAUAUUGCGCAAUGGAGGAAACUCUGACGCAGUGACGCCGCGUAUAGGAAGAAGGUUUUCGGAUUGUAAACUAUUGUCGUUAGGGAAGAGAAAGGACAGUACCUAAGGAGGAAGCUCCGGCUAACUACGUG